rnacentral:rRNA from 1 species
GAGUUUGAUCCUGGCUCAGAGCGAACGCUGGCGGCAGGCCUAACACAUGCAAGUCGAGCGGAUGUAGCAAUACAUCAGCGGCAGACGGGAGAGUAACACGUGGGAACGUGCCCUUUGGUUCGGAAUAACUCGGCGAAAGCCGUGCUAAUACCGGAUAAGCCCUUACGGGGAAAGAUUUAUCGCCAUUGGAGCGGCCCGCGUCUGAUUAGCUAGUUGGUGAGGUAAUGGCUCACCAAGGCGACGAUCAGUAGCUGGUCUGAGAGGAUGAUCAGCCUCACUGGGACUGAGACACGGCCCAGACUCCUACGGGAGGCAGCAGUGGGGAAUAUUGGACAAUGGGCGCAAGCCUGAUCCAGCCAUGCCGCGUGGAUGAUGAAGGCCUUAGGGUUGUAAAGUCCUUUUAACGGGGAAGAUAAUGACGGUACCCGUAGAAUAAGCCCCGGCUAACUUCGUGCCAGCCGCCGCCGUAAC